rnacentral:lncRNA from 1 species
GCUGAGGAGAUAUGGAAAUACCAUUGCUGAACUGAAAGAACAGUGAGAAAAAGUGCCUGAAAAAAUAUGAAUUUAUCAAGUAAUUACUUUUAUUUCUCAACUUUUGUGUAAAAAAAUUCAAGGUAUUAAAUACUUAAAGCACCAAACUAGAAAUAAAAGAUCUGGAUCUUGCACUCCUGACUCAAGGGCUAUCCUGGAUCAACCCCAAACUCAGUCUUCUACUUCCAACCCUGUUAAAAUACAUGUUUUCUCUUCUACCUUCUUCCUAAGGCUAUUUGGAGGGAUGAGGAUGCACUGACCCAUGAAAUAGAAAGCACCGUGCUAUGCUAGAUAGUUCCAUUAAAAGGCAGCUUUGCUGAAACAGAAAGGGACCAUGAAAUUCACAGGAAGACCACCUGGAUUCAAACCCUGUUUGCGCACCUCCUUGCUGCUCAUGGGGCGAUGAGUGUUUCAGGCCUCGGUUUUAUCCUCUGUCAAGUGAGAGGAUGUUCCUUAUGUUACGGGGUUGUAGGAUUAAAGAACAAUGCACAUGGGGAAGCACUGGGAACAUUCUUCAUGUUAUGAAUGUUAGUGGCCUAUCAUAAACCAGGUUUUUCUGUAAAAACAUCAUAAAAAUAAUAGCCUUUUUCAGCUUUGGCUUUAGUUCUACACAAAGGUCUUGGGGUUCUGUUGGCACAAAAAUUUUUCCGUGAUAAGCAUUAAGAAACACAAUCACAUCGUUCAGCAAAUAUUGUGUCAGAGCUGUAACUUGUCUCCCAAGCUCAACACAAAACCCGGAAUAUGCUUAACUUCACGGAAAAGCACAUGAUUUCCAGCCUGACACAACUUAAGCUUUUUACAUUUCAUGUUAACAAACCAUGAGCUGUUACCAACACCCUUCCACCCAAGCGCAUGACCCACAGUCUGAAGUCCCACUCUGAGUUCGUUUUUCCUCUCGAGCUCUGCAGAACAUCGCCAAUUUGAAAAGCACCUAGGUUUCUGGAGUCUCAGCAGCUGGGACGGACAUCAGGCAACGCAAAGCCGCAGUUUCUCCCCAGCUUCGCUGACCAGAAGCGGAGGCGGCCCGCUAGGGAGCAGGGGAGCGGUUCGUGUGCUCAGUUAAAGCCACCAACAUGGCUGCUCCCCGUGGGAAGUAAUAAUGUUACUUAUCUCCUCCCGUUUCCCCAGCCUAAACUGACAGGAAGGCCUCCUUGGCAGAGGGUUUCCAAUGCAAGAAGGACUCCGGUGCAUUCGUGCAGUAGAUGAAAUCCCCCGGAAGACGCUGGAGGAAUUACGACAAGGGUAGCGUUGGAAUCAGUGGUUGGAUUAGUCAACUGAUUGCAUUCUAGUAACCGACGGGCUGAACUGGAUCGGGCAGAGAGAACUGGGACUAUCGCACACUUGCUGUCAAAGUAAAAUCCCGAAGAAACACAUACAACCAUCAGAGAGCCAGAAAAAACCUCUUAGAGGGUGUUUUGGUUUUUUUGUUUUGUUGUUGUUGUUGUUGUUGUUGUUGGGGACCUUGCGCUUGCAAAGCAGACAGUGGAACCACUGAGCUAAAUCUCCAGCCCCCUCUGUAGAGGUUUUAAGAGCUUGAUCUCAGAAUGGGAGGAACGUCCUAAGCAAAAAGCAAAGGAAGGCCGAUUGAGUAGUGCACAUCUGUAAUCCCACCUGCUCUGGAAAUUAAGGCAGGAUCCCAAGAUCGAGGCCAGCCUAGGAAAGUUAGAUAUGGACGCUGUCUCAAAAUUAAAAGGACUGGAGGGAGGGUUAGCUUAGUGGUAAAAUGCCAGCGCUUCAAUUUCCAGUACAUAAAAAAAACCUGUAAGAGCAACAACAAACAAUAACAAUAGCAAAGGGGGGAAAAACAUGAAGAAAAAAAUGAUGUAUUUGGAUACAUAAAUAUUUAAAUUUUAUGGAAGUUUUUUUUAAAACCCAUAAACAAUAUGAAAAGGAAAGAUGAUACCCAAAAAAUAAAAAUUAGCAAACAACAUGAAUAGGAAGUUCAUGAAAAAAGAGAAAGAAAUAUAAAUGGUCAAUAAAUGCAUCAAAAAAGUUGUCUCACUAGUAGGCAAAAUAUAAAUUAACAGACCAAGAUCUAAGUAUUUCAUCCAUUAUGGAUGAAAGAGCUGAGUGGGCAUUUUAACACAGGGGUAGUGGGAAUGGAAUUUGACGCAAUUUUUCAUAAAGUAAAUCGCAUCAAAAAUCUCUUCAAACCUUAUUUUAUAGAGUAUGUAAUUAGAUAUUCAUAUAAAAAUUAGUGUAAAGUUUUUGUUGAGGUGUUUUUUAUAGUAGCAAAACCAAAACAGCCCAAAUGGCUAACAAUGAGAAAUUAAUUAAAAACCUAUGAUAUAGAAACUGGGCGUGGUGGCACACACCUGUAAUCCCAGCACUCGGGAGGCUGAGGCAGGAGGAUCACUGUGAGUUGGAGACCAGCCUAGGCUACAUAGUUAGUUCCAGGUCAGUCUCAACUAUAUAGUGAGACCCUGUCUCAAAACAAAACAAAACAAAACAAAAAAACCACCUACGAUAUAUCCAUGUAAUAGAAUCCUGAGCAACAUUCCAUUUGUUUUCGAAAGCAACUGAUUGAUCUUAAAGUUUUUAUAAAUGGCAACUUACAAAGCAAUAAAUAUAUAAUGAGG